UGCUACUAAAAAAAUUCAAAAGACCAUUGCAUAUUCAGAAAGUGAAUCUGAAGAUGAAGUUGAAAAAGCUCUAGCAAAUGCUGCAAGAAAAAGUAGUAGUGUACCAACAACUAUUACUGUUCAGGAAGAAAAACCUGAUGAUUCACACAAGAAUGAUGCUUCCGAACCUAAAGCUAAAAGUGAACCAAGGAAAUCAAUAUCUUUAGGUAAAUCCCAACAACUGUCAAAAAGUACAAGAAAAGUUUUAGGUCUGGAUACUUCAUCAGGUUCAGAAGGUGAAAUUCGUAUCCCAGAAAAAACUAGUCAAAAAACUGUAGAAGAUAGUGAUGAUGAGUUUUUUUAUGAUUAAGAAAAAAUAAUAAAGUUGUUGCAAA